AGAGCCAUAGCUUAGUGGUAGAGCUCUUGCAUUUCACUCAGGGGGUCCUAGGUUCGAUCCUCUGCAGCUCUG